CCUGCCAACCACUAGGGAGGCUACGAUGAGAAAGGAUGGCUGUGAUUUAAGAUGAAAAAGAAGACUAACAAGCAACUGCUGGGAGGAGUGGAAGCUGGGGCAGCAGCUGAGGGAAAGGCUGACAGAUCUGGAAAUGGAUAACCUUGAUACCAUCCACGGGACUUAUCAGUUCAAGAACUGGGGAAUGGCUGAGAAUCGGCACAUUAAAAGCAACAUUCGGGUCACCAAAUGGAA